UACAGAGUGGGCAAGCGUUGUUCGGAAUUACUGGGCGUAAAGGGCGCGUAGGCGGCCUGCUAAGUCGAACGUGAAAUCCCCGAGCUCAACCCGGGAACUGCGUCCGAUACUGGCAGGCUUGAAUCCGGGAGAGGGAUGCGGAAUUCCAGGUGUAGCGGUGAAAUGCGUAGAUAUCUGGAGGAACACCGGUGGCGAAGGCGGCAUCCUGGACCGGCAUUGACGCUGAGGCGCGAAAGCCAGGGGAGCAAACGGG
rnacentral:rRNA from 1 species